rnacentral:lncRNA from 1 species
UUUUUCUUUACCCAAUUUAUAUGGUUAGAAUUUCGGAACGUACGAAAAUAUCGCAAAAGACAUAAUAUUAAGAGAAGAGGAUAAGGUAGAGGAAAAAAAAAAAAAAAAAAAAAUUUUUUAUUAUAUAAUAAAAAAGUGGAUUUGAAAACAGAUGAAAAACCAGUGAGAAUAAAAAAACGUAUCGAAAUAGAAAAUAUAGAAAGGACAUGUGACUUCUACAUAAACAAAUAUUUUAAAGAUGAUGUAGAUAAAUCUAAUUUAACUGAUGUAAAAAAUGAAACCAAAACUAAUAAUGACAGUUCUAUAACUUAUUUAAAUAAAAGAAGAAACUCAUUUUUUCUAAUGAAAACUGAAUUAUUAUAUAAAUCAAAAAUUAAUUCAAAACAAGCUUUAUUGAUAUAUGAAAAAAUAAAAGAAAAACUUGAACAUAAUUAUAAUAUAGCAUACAGUUUAAGUGUCCCAGGUAACCACAUAAAAAAAGAUAAUAACAUUAAAGAUGAAAAUUUAAAAGAGAAUUCAAACUUAAAGAUAGUGGAAAACAGUAACACUAACACUGUUUUGAAAAAUAAACAAACUAAAAUAAAAGACACGAAAGGAAAAACAAACAAAAAAAUUAUAAAUAAAGAGAAUCAUAUAUUAUCGGAAGAAGCGAAUAAAAUAGCAACUGACCAUUAUGAUGGUACUAUAGUAAAAGAAAAUACAAAAAUAAGUAUAGCAAUAAAUAAUGAUAAUGGAAAUAUAAAAAGUGAUAAAAAUAAAGAAGGAGAAGAAGCAGAAGCAGAAGCAGUUGAGUCAGGUGAAAAUCAACAUUUUAAAAAUAUAAAUGAUAAAGAAGCUAGCGAGCAAAUAAAAGAAAAUCAUGAUGAAGUUCAAAAAAGUGAAUCAAGUGAUGCAAAACUUGAUAAUGCAUUAGGAAAUUUGCAAGAUGGACAAACAUAUGAAGGACGAAUGAAUAAGGACAUAACUGAGGAGGAAGAUAAUACGAACGCAGGAAAUGAAGUUGAAGCGGGUCGAGUUGUAGAGGAUAACAUUAUACAAGAUAAAACUGAAGAGAAUAUUGUUCAGGUAGACAAAGUUGAUGAGGAUACUGUUAAAGUAGAUACAGUUGAAGAGGAUACUGUUAAAGUAGAUA